rnacentral:lncRNA from 1 species
UUGGAGAGGAGUUUGAGCCAGAGGAGAUGAAUACCCAGCCAUAGAGUUCAGAAAGAGCCUGAAAAGGUAAGCUUAUUCAGCAGUAAGUCUCAGAGGCUGAUACACAUUCUAGGACUAGAGAAGACUGUGCGGAGGCCAGAAGCUCCCAGGACCAGGCCUAGGUGAGCAGGCAGAGGCAGUAAGCCUCAGAGAUGACAAUUGCAUCAGGAGAAUGAAAGUUACAUUUACAACUGCUCUUAUUUUCCUGCAUUGCUAUUCUCCCGAAAUACUGUUAAACAUUACCCCUGCUGCUGCUGCCGAGUCUGCUCUGUUUCUCUUUGCGCAUGAUUUGCAAAUAAAGGAAGUUCAGAUUGGACAUGGCGACACAUGCCCUAUGAUCCCAGCCCUGGGGAAGCUGAGACAAGAGGAGCGGAAGUACAAGGCCAGCCUGGGCUACACGUGGGAGACCUUGCCUGAAAGACAAACAAACAAACAAAAAAAAAAAAAACCCUCCCGAACCCAAAACGAAAAAGGACAACCAACCAGCCAAGCCAAAGAAGACGUGUACUGUGAUGUUCGAGGAUAUCUUGUUGGUUUUGUUGACUGUGGGUGAGACAUUUGUGUCCGUUCCAUCCAUGGUGGGAAAAGCAGAUGGGCAACCCAGCCGCCCGUGAAGACGAGGAAAUGGCAACGUUUUGGCAGUACCUCUGUAGGCUAGUAUAGGUCAACGCACGCAACACCAGCCUGGGAGAGAGAAUCUCAGCUAAGGGAUUGGCCCCAUCAGAUUGGUCUGUGGCUCGGCUUAUGUAGAAUAUUUUCUUGGUUGCUGAUUGUUAGCAUUCUGUCUAAGCUCCACCCCCACAGUUACCUGGCAACAGCCAGGUAGGCCUCACUCACUGUAAAAGGGGCUGCUUGACCCAUCCACUCUCUUGCUCUUGCCUUCCUGCUCCGCGCCCCUCCCCAUUCCCCUCAUCCCUCCCCCAUGUGCUCAUGGCCAGCCUCUAUUCCUCUUCUCUACUCUACUUCCUUCUUAACUCCCCUCCCCAUGCCCUGAAUAAACUCUAUUCUCUCUACUAUACUGUCAUGUGGCUGGUCCCUCAGGGGGAAGGGGUGCCUCAGCAUGGGCCGCUAAGGCAGCCCUUCCCCCACACCUCACCACACAUACACUAAACAUAUCCCCCCUCUCUUUAUUUUUUAUAAACACAUCACUGAUUGAUAUAGAAAGGCCUGUUCUACUGUGGGCGGUUCUAUCCCUAGGCAGGAGGGCCUGGGCUAUAGAGGAAAAGUGGGUGAGUGGCCAGUAAGCAGUGUCCCUCCAUGGUCUUUGCUUCAACUUCUGUUUCCAGGUUCCAGCUUUCCUUGAGGUUGGACUGUGAUCUUGGAGAUGAAGGAUGAAAUCAGCCCUUUCCUCCCUAACUUGCUUUUGGUUUCUGUUUCUGUUUUCCCGAUCACAGCCACAGGCAACCAAGCCAGAAUAAUAGCUAAUCUAGUUUAAUUUCUGAGGUCUGCACCUCUGACUGCGACAUCUCUGAUGGGGCUCUGUCCCCCAACACUGCCAUCCGGAGGCAUCGGACCACGACGUGAGAUUGGAUGAGGAUGAACUGCACAGCGUCGACCAGACGGAAUGUGGAAUUAGAGUGGAAAGCAAUAAUUCUGAGAAGUGGGAAGGCUUCGUGGGAGCAGGCAGCGGUACCGUAAAAAGAAGAAAAGAAAUCCUGCAUAAAAAGAAAUGCGUAGAAAUCUUGUUCCGGUCAGUGGGGAUGAAGAGCAACCUCUCGCCUUGUGGUUCUGUCCAUGCUUGGCAGACGGAAGCAGGAGCCAGAGACUCUGCUCAGCCUGCAGACCGUGGCCUGAGCUGCUCUGCUGAGUCACUGUCUGACAGUGACAGGGCACAAAGUGUACCACAGGACUGCAAACUGCUUUAUGCUGUAGGAAGGAUAAAUAUCACGGAAGGCACUCUUUCUUAAAAAUAGAAAAUUCUCUCCUCUACUCCCUGCUUUUGUGUGUGUGUGUGUGUGUGUGUGAGGGGAGAGAGAGAGAGAGUCUCACCACAUGGCUAGGCUUGUCUUAAACUUGUAAUCCUCCUGCCUCAGCAGCCCCUCCAAGUGCUGGGUCUAUCCAGGUCCAGUUAUGGGGCUGGAGAGAUGGCUCAGUGAUUAAGAGCACUGGCCAUUCUUCCUGAGGACCUGGGUUCAGUUCCCAGCACCCACUUAGUGGCUCACAACCAUCUGUAACUCCAGUCCCUAGGGAGCCAACACACUCUUCUGGCCUCUGGGUAGACCAGGCACAUACUUGCUACACAGAUAUACAAUCAGAGAAGACAUCCA